GCAUCGAUAGCUCAGUGGCAGAGCGGUGGGGCGUUUACCCAUGCGGCGCGGGUUCGAUCCCCGGUCGAUGUA